rnacentral:rRNA from 1 species
CGCGUAGGCGGAUGGCACAGUCAGAUGUGAAAUUCCCGGGCUUAACCUGGGGGCUGCAUUUGAUACGUGUUGUCUUGAGUUCGGAAGAGGGUCGUGGAAUUCCCAGUGUAGAGGUGAAAUUCGUAGAUAUUGGGAAGAACACCGGUGGCGAAGGCGGCGACCUGGUCCGACACUGACGCUGAGGCGCGAAAGCGUGGGGAGCAAACAGGAUUAGAUACCCUGGUAGUCCACGCUGUAAACGAUGUGUGCUGGAUGUUGGGUGACUUAGUCACUCAGUGUCGUAGCUAACGCGAUAAGCACACCGCCUGGGGAGUACGGCCGCAAGGUUGAA